rnacentral:rRNA from 1 species
UACGGGGGGGGGCAAGCGUUGUUCGGAUUUACUGGGCGUAAAGGGCGCGUAGGCGGUCAGCACAAGUCAGUUGUGAAAUCUCCGGGCUUAACUCGGAAAGGUCAACUGAUACUGUGCGACUAGAGUGCGGAAGGGGCAACUGGAAUUCUCGGUGUAGCGGUGAAAUGCGUAGAUAUCGAGAGGAACACCUGCGGCGAAGGCGGGUUGCUGGGCCGACACUGACGCUGAUGCGCGAAAGCCAGGGGAGCGAACGGG